AUUGAACGCUGGCGGCAUGCUUUACACAUGCAAGUCGAACGGUAACAGGCCGCAAGGUGCUGACGAGUGGCGCACGGGUGAGUAAUGCAUCGGAACGUGCCCAGUCGUGGGGGAUAACUACUCGUAAGAGUAGCUAAUACCGCAUACGAUCUAUGGAUGAAAGCGGGGGACCGUAAGGCCUCGCGCGAUUGGAGCGGCCGAUGUCAGAUUAGGUAGGUGGUGGGGUAAAGGCUCACCAAGCCAACGAGCUGUAGCUGGUCUGAGAGGACGACCAGCCACACUGGGACUGAGACACGGCCCAGACUCCUACGGGAGGCAGCAGUGGGGAAUUUUGGACAAUGGGCGCAAGCCUGAUCCAGCAAUGCCGCGUGCAGGAAGAAGGCCUUCGGGUUGUAAACUGCUUUUGUACGGAACGAAACGGCUCUGGUUAAUACCCGGGGCUAAUGACGGUACCGUAAGAAUAAGCACCGGCUAACUACGUG
rnacentral:rRNA from 1 species